GAGACUUUACAGAGUACUGUAUAUAUCAUAGAUACCAUCAGACCUGACCACAGACAGGAGGAGAGACUUUACAGAGUACUGUAUAUAUCAUAGAUACCAUCAGACCUGACCACAGACAGGAGGAGAGACUUUACAGAGUACUGUAUAUAUCACAGAUACCAUCAGACCUGACCAGAAACGCAGAUAGACAUACAGACAAAAACAGACAUACAGACAAAAACAGACAGACAGACAGACAGAAACAUACAGACAUAAACGCAGAUAGACAUACAGACAAAUACACAGACAGACAGACAGACAGAAACGCAGAUAGACAUACAGACAACAGACAUACAGACAAAGACAGACAGACAAAGAGAGAGAGAGAGAGAGCAGACAGACAGGCAAAGAGACAGACAGACAUACAGACAGAGGCAGACAGACAGACAGACAGACAGACAUACAGACAGGCACAUCCAGACAUAAACGCAGAUAGACAUACAGAAAAAAACAGACAUACAGACAAAAACAGACAGACAGACAGAAACAUACAGACAUAAACGCAGAUAGACAUACAGACAAAUACACAGACAGACAGACAGACAGACAGAAACGCAGAUAGACAUACAGACAAAAACAGACAUACAGACAAAAACAGACAGACAGACAAAGACAGACAGACAGACAGACAGACAGAAACAUGCAGAUAGACAUACAGACAAAUACACAGACAGACAGACAAAGAGACAGACAGACAGACACAUCCAGACAUAAACGCAGAUAGACAUACAGACAAAAACAGACAGACAGACAGACAGGCAAAGAGAGAGACAGACAGACAGACAGAAACAUCCAGACAUAAACGCAGAUAGACAUACAGACAAAAACAGACAUACAGACAAAAACAGACAGACAGAUAGACAGACAGACAGAUAUACAUAGAGACAGAGAAGAUGGAUAAUAAAGGUGUGAUAAAGAGACUGAUUAAGAUAGUGAUCAUAGUCACCAUAGCAACAGAGGCCAUAGUGUCAGCAGCAGCUCUCCACAAAACCUCAAAUGUUGCAUCACUUCCUGUGGGCCUCUGAGAGACACAUCAACAUUGCCUCAAAUCUUCCCUUGGACAGAUGUAAAUGAUUUGUUAGCUAAAUCUGACUUCUUUCUUCUGACACUUCAGCCACCACUGAAAUCAAUAGACAUGACUCUGUCCUGCUCCACGAGAAUGGAGAAGAAUCUAAAGAGGUCAGAGAAUAUGACAUUUGAAAUGUCUCUAUUCCUUUGGAACUUUGGGGAGGGAAAUGUUUAUUUUUGAUUGUUUAUUUCACUUUAGUUCAUUAUCUAUUUCACUUGAUUUGGCAACAUAAACAUAUGUUUCCCAUGUCAAUAAAGCCCUUUGAAUUGAAUUGAAUUGAAUUGAAUUGAAUUGAGAGAGAGAGAGAGAGAGAUGUACUUGUAAUGUCUAAGAUGAGAGAUGCAUCAUACCUGCUCUUGAUGAAGAGUGACCACUGAUGUCUCCAGAUGCCAUAAACGUGGAGAUGUUAGAUAAUGUUGCAGAGAGGUUUGGGAGGGUUGUGGAGACAUGGGGUCUGGAGGUGAGUGGUGACGGUGUAGAAGUGGGAGGAGCUGUGAGUCAAUAGAAAGUACAGAUAAACACCACUACUGAAACAACUUCAUGUCAGGAAAUAAGUCAGGAAGCCUCUCCAUAAUUAAUAAAUACUAGAUACCAAUAUCUAUUGAGAGUAAACUUACCAUCUGUAACUGUGAGAUGCACCUCUUGGUAUGAGUCUAGGCCAUAUCUCCCCACUCCACACCAGUAGGUCCCUGAGUCUGACUUCCUCAGGUCCUUGAUUGUCACAUAGAAUACAUUUCCCUUGUCUUCUAUACUGUAUCUAUCUUGAGUUACAGUCUUGCUCCUCUUAGUUGCAACCAGAAUGUCUUUACUAGAACAUCUCCCCUUGCAGAAGUAUUUAUUGUUGGUCCCUGCCCAAGUGAAUGAGCAGCCCACAGUGAAUUGUCCUCCUACCACUUCCUUAAUGACAGCUGACUCCACAACACACAGAGCUGUCAAACAGAAACACACAGUACAGUCACAACUGUUGACCUGUGAGAUAUACUUUAAAACUGCUCAAAUUUUACUUUAACCCUGCUCAAAUCUAACUUUAACCCAGCUCAAAUUUUACUUUAACCCUGCUCAAAUCUAACUUUAACCCAGCUCAAAUCUUACUUUAACCCUGCUCAAAUCUAACUUUAACCUGCUGAAAUCUAACUUUAACCCUGCUCAAAUCUAACUUUAACCCUGCUCAAAUCUAACUUUAACCCUGCUCAAAUCUAACUUUAACCUGCUCAAAUCUAACUUUAACCCUGCUCAAAUCUAACUUUAACCCUGCUCAAAUCUAACUUUAACCCUGCUCAAAUCUAACUUUAACCCUGCUCAAAAUCUAACUUUAACCCUGCACAAAUCUAACUUGAACCCUGCUCAAAUCUAACUUUAACCCUGCUCAAAUCUAACAUGAACCCUGCUCAAAUCUAACUUUAACCCUGCUCAAAUCUAACUUUAAUCCUCGGUAAAUCUUACUUGAACCCUGCUCAAAUAUAACUUUAAUCCUGGGUAAAUCUUACUUGGACCCUGCUAAAAUCUUACAUUAACCCUGCUCAAAUCUUACUGUAACCAUGCUCAAAUCUAACUUUAAUCCUGGGUAAAUCUUACUUUAACCCUGCUCAAAUCUAACUUUAAUCCUGGGUAAUUCUUACUUGAACCCUGCUCAAAUCUAACUUUAAUCCUGGGUAAAUCAUACUUGAACCCUGCUCAAAUCUUACUUUAACCCUGCUAAAACCUAACUGUAACCCUAUUCAAAUCUAACUUUAACCCUGCUCAAAUCUUACAUUAACCCUGCUCAAAUCUAACUUUAACCCAGCUCAAAUCUUACUUUAACCCUGCUGAAAUCUAACUUUAACCUGCUCAAAUCUAACUUUAACCCUGCUCAAAUCUAACUUUAACCCUGCUCAAAUCUAACUUUAACCCUGCUCAAAUCUAACUUUAACCCUGCUCAAAUCUAACUUGAACCCUGCUCAAAUCUAACAUGAACCCUGCUCAAAUCUAACUUUAAUCCUGGGUAAAUCUUACUUUAACCCUGCUCAAAUCUAACUUUAAUCCUGGGUAAAUCUUACUUCAACCCUGCUCAAAUCUAACUUUAAUCCUGGGUAAUUCUUACUUGAACCCUGCUCAAAUCUAACUUUAACCCUGCUCAAAUCUAACUUUAACCCUGCUCAAAUCUAACUUGAACCCUGCUCAAAUCCAACUUUAACCCUGCUCAAAUCUAACAUGAACCCUGCUCAAAUCUAACUUUAAUCCUGGGUAAAUCUUACUUUAACCCUGCUCAAAUCUAACUUUAAUCCUGGGUAAUUCUUACUUGAACCCUGCUCAAAUCUAACUUUAAUCCUGGGUAAAUCAUACUUUUACCCUGCUCAAAUCUAACUUUAAUCCUGCUCAAAUCUUACUUGAACCCUGCUCAAAUCUAACUUUAAUCCUAGGUAAAUCUUACUUGAACCCUGCUCAAGUCUUACUUUAACCCUGCUAAAACCUAACUGUAACCCUACUCAAGUCUUACUUUAACCCUGCUCAAAUCUUACUUUAACCCUGCUGAAACCUAACUGUAACCCUACUCAAAUCUUACUUUAACCCUGCACAAACCCAGGUAAAAGACCAAAAUAUCAAAUAUUUGGAGUUCAGAACAUUAUCAUAAGGUACAUGUGAAAAACAAACUCAGAACUGUAAAACUUUCUGGCUCCUUAUAGACAAAUACAUAUCUUAUUCCUUAUGUACUAUAUGACCCAGACAGUAUUAUGAAAACUGAGACAGACAGACAGACAGACAGACAGACAGACAGACAGACAGACAGACAGACAGACAGACAGACAGACAGACCUCACCUGAGAGGAGACAGCAGAAGACAACAUGGAGUAUCUUCAUUCUGGUCAGUUACUCCUCAGUCACUAUGGUGUUAAAGUUACUUUACUAUCACAGGUAUUAUGCUGUUAAAGUUACUUUACUAUCACAGUUUACUAUACUGUUAAAGUUACUUUACUACCACAGUUACUAUACUGUUAAAGUUACUUUACUUCCACAGUUACUAUACUGUUAGUUACUUUACUAUCAUUGUUACUUUUCUGUUAAAGUUACUUUACUACACUAUUGGAUUGUACAGUUCCACAACAGAUUCUAUGUCAGUUAUUAAUUUGACAGCAGGGUGUUUCUGAAGUGCUCUUUCUUCCUAUAUUGAAAGCUCCUCCCUCGGACACCCAACUCCUCUCUCUCUCUCUCUCUCUCUCUCUCUCUCUCUCUCUCUCUCUCUC
rnacentral:lncRNA from 1 species